UUUUGAGGAGGAUACUGCGGGAU
rnacentral:misc_RNA from 1 species